rnacentral:antisense_RNA from 1 species
GUAAUGAUAUGUGCGUGAUGUGUUUGAGGGGGUACAUGAU